GUCCUGGUUCACAAUGAUCCUUUGGUGUCAUGGAUGACCCAGUUCUAUAGGUUUGGAGGUCAUUAAACUAUAUAUAGGAGCUGCCACUGCAACAAAGGCUGAAAUGGAUAUGUAAUAGAUAGAAGAAGCUACAAGUGAUCUGAGACCCUAGACUUCACACUUCAAGGACUUUCAGAUUUGAUUUGUGGUAUUGAUUUUUACAUUCAAACAAUCAAUCAAAAUGUCGAAGCAGAUGGCUCAAGCAGAGUGAAUUAUGACCAACAUUAAGGGUUAAGUGAAGAUCCUGGAAAACACGGUUGUGUCUUUGCUUCUUGCAACCUGGAAAAGAAGUCUCUCGAUAGCAAGCAACGACAUAGUUGUAGCACAUUUCUUCUGUUCCUUACUCUUUUGCAGAGGUGAGAAUCACUGUUAUGCAUGGGAGUAUCCUGCAGAAUGGUGUCUGCCUAACUACUCUAUAGGUAAAACGGACAUCCAGCAACAAGAAUCUUGGCUGCUGCUUCGUUCAGCCUCAGCUUUCAUGCUUAAUGGCACGAGGACUGCUGGCUAACUGGUGCACCAGAAGCGGCUCACCUCACACGAUCAUCUGUUCUUGCAAUUGCAGACUGGCUAACUGUGGAAAACAUUACAUCCCACUUCAGUCCUGGACCUAGAGAAGCUGAAUUACCAGCAUAACCCGAUGGGCAGCAAUGAUCAGUAGCAGGAGGACCCAAGUGACUGCCGAUGCUGGAAUCUGGCACAGCAAACCAUUCUGCUUGAGGAAAUCAGCAGUUUGAGCAGCAGCUACUUGGGAAGAGAAACAAAGUUAAGGCAUCAAUCCUGACAUAGGGUCUUGAUCUAAAAUGUUCACCAGUUGUGAAGCCUGGUCUUGACUGAACAUCAGCAAUUUCUUCCCCCCCACCACAGAUACUGUUUGACCUACUGAGUUCCUCCAGCAGAUUGUUUGUAGUUCCGUGAUUAGUAGUAAGGAUGAAUUAAUCCCUUAUUUUAAAUAACUAAGUUAAAUAUGAUUAUAUUUAAGAAUUAAAGAUGUACUGAAUUAAUCUUUUUUUGUAAUUUAUUUUUUAUUGAAGCUCAUCAUCAAACAAACAUUUCCAUAAGAUGUAUUUUGGAUACUGUACAUGUAUAUCAUAUAUUCAUAUUUGCCACAAAUCACAUAAUAUUUAUCUGAGGUAAACACUUAUAGAAAAGAGAAGAAAAAAAGAACAAGCAAAAGGAGAAAACUAUGUACAAGUAGGGAUUCUACUGGAAUGGGUCUUUAAUCUCCCAAAUGUUGCCAGAUGGAGAGUGGGGCAUUCCGCAAGCAAUGAACAAAGGCUGUUGUGAGUUUCAACCAAACGGAGUGUGUGAACCCUGCUGGUGUCUGAUUUUGAAAAAACAGUUUUAUUGCUGGUUGUCAUAGUGGCACACUUUGUCAAUGUGUAGCCAAGUUACUUGCUAAUCAUCCGUUACCAAUAGUGAAGAGAAGAAAUUUAAGAGAUUGGAAUUUGAGGAACUCUGACAUUUGGAAGCUACAGGACUGGGGAGGAAUAAGCAUAUUGACGGAAUUGACCAGAAGAUGAAAAUUUGAAAUUCUCCAUUUAGAGCUUUCCAUUCAACUGUUAAAAAUAUUAGUUAUCUGUUGUCUAAUAAUGCAGAAAUUUCAGCGAUAAAAUAAUGAUUAAUCUUCUUAACCUGGCAAUUGAUUAGGAUAUUUUUAUGAACACAUUCAGAAUCAAGCUUAAUGUUGUGAAAUUUGUUAACUUUAUGGCAGCAGUACAAUGAA